rnacentral:rRNA from 1 species
AUGCUGGAAUGCGUCGCGAUAGAAAGCUCCGGCGCCUAAGGAUGGGUCUGCGGCCUAUCAGGGUAGUAGUGGGUGUAACGUACCUACUAGCCUACGACGGGUACGGGUUGUGAGAGCAAGAGCCCGGAGAUGGAUUCUGAGACACGAAUCCAGGCCCUACGGGGUGCAGCAGGCGCGAAAACUUUACAAUGCUGGAAACAGCGAUAAGGGGACCUCGAGUGCCAGGAUACAAUCCUGGCUGUCGUAAUGCCUAAAAAGCAUUGCAUAGCAAGGGCCGGGCAAGACCGGUGCCAGCCGCCGCGGUAACACCGGCGGCUCGAGUGGUAACCGCUAUUAUUGGGUCUAAAGGGUCUGUAGCCGGCUGACUAAGUCUCUUGGGAAAUCUGGCAGCUUAACUGUCAGGCUUUCAGGAGAUACUGAUCGGCUCGAGACCGGGAGAGGUGAGAGGUACCUCAGGGGUAGGGGUGAAAUCUUGUAAUCCUUGAGGGACCACCAGUGGCGAAGGCGUCUCACCAGAACGGAUCUGACGGCAAGGGACGAAAGCUAGGGGCACGAACCGGAUUAGAUACCCGGGUAGUCCUAGCCGUAAACGAUACUCGCUAGGUGUCGGCCACGGUGCGACCGUGGUCGGUGCCGUAGGGAAGCCGUGAAGCGAGCCACCUGGGAAGUACGGCCGCAAGGCUGAAACUUAA